CGCUCCCUGCCAGUUAAAACCAGUAUGAGUUGCUCUUCCCGGCAUCGCUGCGAGCCCCAUCCCUGUGAGGGCAGGCGACGCUUAGUCUGAAAAGCCCAUACCUGGUCUCCAAUUGAAAACCCGUGAAAGUAAGGGAAACGCCAGUAUUUUAGGUACCAACGGAGAAACUUUCAAGAUAUAUGCAUGGCACCUGCGAGGAUGGCGGUACUAAGUGCAGUGGUUGAUGAAAUUUACAACCUGUUUCUGUACAGACAGCUUUUCUGGCCCAAUGUGCAGCUGCAGUGUUGUUUCACUUCGAUCAGCUGUCCUUAUUAGGACCCAUUUUGCUCUUUUCAGCUUGUUUCCCACCUGGAUUGGCACAUGCACAGCACCUUACCGUCUAUGUAAUUAAUCUGUAAUUCAUUCUGUUUAUUCUUUGGUGAAUUUCCUUUUGAAAUUGUUGCAUUUUAAUCCGCACCUUCUACGCGCUGCCAGAUCUGAGAAUGUCAGCACUCUAAAAUAAUAUGAUUACUGGUCCCACUAAGCAGGUUUUAUCACAUGAGGAGUAAUAAUCAUAUUCAAACAUGUUCUUUGGCUUUGUUGUUGAAAAUCAUACUUAAUUUUGCUGUUGUCUGUAGCAUUUUCUUAGGAGUUGAUCAGUUUCAGUACAUUAGUGUACCAUGGCUAUGCUGGUUAGCGUUGUGAUGGACUGCUCCCUAACAGCUCCACAUAUACUAAAUGUUUUGGUGCUUGGAUGUUUUGGAGCACGUAUGUUUAUACUCGCAGGUCAAAGCCAGCCAAGGCAUUACAACUACCCAUGAUCCUGUGGCCCAGCCAAGGCUCAGCAUCGGAGAACUGUAAGGUCAACGUGUGAAUCUGUAGCAGGAAGGGUGGGUGAGGUCCGAGUGCCAUCCCUGAAUGGCUGUCAUAAGUUCAAAUACAAAGCCAGAGACGCAUCAAGUGGCCAGCAGUAGCUUUCUUCUGAGUGCCGUAGCUCCUGCUUCUUCCCUGAAAGAAGCGUACUAGAAGAUCCUGCAGUCUUGCUUCAUUGUUCAGGUGAUCCUUGAGUGCAGUGGUGUCAUAAGUGUCAUCGACUACUUUGAGUGCUUCUUCAUUCCACCUCACUGUGGCAAAAGCAGAUCUGGCUCUGAUGAUAAUGGGAUGGUGAGCUGUCCCCCUCUCUCUUGUCGUUGCCAUAUUUAAUUAUAGGGUCACAUAAUCAAGCAAUUCACAACAUGAGUCACACGAUGACAUUUGCUUUCAAGGGGGAGUAAAUGACAGCUGAAUAUGACCUUAGCUACUGUACACUGUGUUACAGCUCUUUUGCAACUCUUAAAAUAACCAAGCAGGUGAGGUAGUAGCAAUGUUGAGAAUUAUAUAUCCUUGGUUUUCUCCUCUAUGUGAAGUCUAGUGAUAGAGCUCAUGGAUUGUGACUAACCCACAUCCAUAUCCUCUGUGCAGACAUAGACACAAGUUUUUCUUAAAAAAGAAAGAUUGCAGUAUUUUAAAAAAAUCGUAGGUUACCAAGUCAUCUGAUCAGUAUAUCAGCCACGUUGAGUACACCUUUGUAAUUGGAAUAGAUGAGGGCAGGACUUCCUUAAUGCUGUGUCAGCCAGUCAUAUCCAAAUGUUAUUUAUAAAGGGAUUCAACUUGGCUGGUUGUACCAACUGAAAUGUCAUCUAUUUUGUGAUCCUUCCAGAGGGGACAGUUAGUACACUGAUGCCAGGGAGGGGAAAAGGCCACCCACAGCUGUCUGUUCUCUUCCCUGUGACCUGAUACAAUGUGUAUGCCUGGAUGCACAAUUGGAAAAAGUUCUGGAAGUUUAGGUUUCACUGCAUCUACACAGAUCGAUUAAGCUGUACAGGAAUCACCACAUGAACUUGCAAGGAAAAAAUGAGCUUGCCACACAUGGCUACACAGUUUAUUAAUCUAGCUAAGUAAGGGAAGAGAGCAGUCAGCGGAGGAUAUCACUGUAACAUCACAUUAUGGAAACCUCUCCCAGCUGCCUCCAAGAUGCUGAAAUGAUGUUUAAAGUGAAAUGCGUGUUCCCAUAACUUCUCUUCUAAAGCAGACACUUGGAGUGGAAGUUCUUCAUUUCAAAAGCGUAGCAUUAGAAAAGAAAAAAUAACCAAGGAAGAAGAAGAAAGACAGACUAGUAAAUAGAAUGGAAUGAAAUUUGGGAAGAAAUCUGGGAGACUGAUGAAAAGUAAACUAGAGUUGGAAAUACGAAUGGAUGUCACUGGAUCUGGAAUUGGUAUUGUGUCAGGGGCUGAACUGUUUUUUGAUAUCUUAGGAAUGGAAGUUAAAAUCUGACCUGGGCUGACAAAACUGUUUUCUGCCUCUGCAAGUCUAUCUCUGGGCAAACUGUCCAUGGACAUACAAUAUUUUUGGCCUAACCCUCCAGAGAACAGGAAACUUGCUUCUGACAUCUACAAGUAAACAAGAAGCCCUCGGCUGCUUUAGAACUCCGACUGGGCAGAGCCUCCAGAGAUGGUGAUACUCUGCUGUGUUUGUCACUGAGGAAGGAGGAAAACUGAUUAGGCUGAGCUUCGUUUCCACUACACGUGUAUAGCGGCUUGGAACAUUUCAGUAAAAGCACAUCUUGUUUGGAGAGAAAAAAAAUGUUAUUAUUAUACUCUGCUGACAGAAGAGAUGACAAAAGAAUGCAACAAACGUGCCAGAGGAAAGAAGGAAUGAAGGUGAGAGGAAUAAGUUCGCGUGUAAGAAACUUCCUCGAAAUAACUCGGCAAUUUGCUUAUUUAAAAGCAGAAAAUGAGAUUUGGCAGCUUUUUUAUUUGUAUGGAAGUCUUCCCAUUUCCUUGAAACACAAAAAUUUAUUCAGGUAAGAGGCUUGUAGGAACCUUCAGUUUGUACAUGCUCAUUAGAUGCUUCGUAAUGUUCAGUGUUGACUCUGUAAAAGUGAAGAAUGCUAAUAUUGGUUAGAGGACAAUAGGAUUAAGUAAGAACAAAGAUAAACCAUCUGGAAUUUAAGGAGAGGUGGUUGGGGGAUAUGAGCUACAAGGCAGAAAAUAAGUGGAAUAAUCAAUAUUCAUACAGUGAGUUUGAGUGGGGAAACCGAGAACAGUAAACAUGCUUAUGGGAUGAUUCCACCACCUUUCAAUAUUGUGACCAAGCAGCAUAUGUCUAUGGAAACCGACUAGAAAGUAGGUGCUAUUCUGUUUUGUGCAGAAGCUGAAAUAAGGUGGAGAACAGAGAGAACACAAGAUGUGGUUUCAUGAUGAAGUUGGGGAAACCCCUGAAAAAUUGUAUUUAGGUGGUGAUUUUAAUGGCAGUGUGUGUAAUGUAAAUCUUUUCCUUUAAGCCAUCAAUCUCAGAAAUUGUCACUAGGUAUGCAAUUGUCCUUUUUUGCAUUCAGCUUGCACUCAUGAUUGAAAUGAAAAUGAAUAAAAAUUCUUUUUAACACAUUUGUAAUUCUAUAAUGCUUAACAUGCACCACCGUUACCUCAAAAAAUGUCGGACAGUUCAAUGAACAUUUGCAAAUGCUUUUGACCUUAAUCUCAAAACAGCUCAAUUUCCCCCUUUUCAAAACAGAGAUGAUAUCAAAAAGUCAACUAACCAAACCUUGGUCAAGAUAAUGUGGUGUUUGUGAUACUGCGAAACUGAUGAGCACGCAAAUAAAACACUUACAGAAGGUGAUAAGGUAGGCUUCAGAGUAGUUUGAAGUUGUAGUAAUAUGCGGUGAAGAAGGUAUGGGAUAGCAUACUGAACAAUGGAAUGAAAAUAAAAGGUUUUGUGCGUAGAAUCAAAGAAUCAUAAAUUAUUUUGUGUUGGAAGGGAUCUAUAAAGGUCAUCUUGUCCAACCUUCCUGCAAUGAGCAGCAAGACAUCUUCAAUUAGAUCUGAUUGCUAAGAAUGCCAUCUAGCCCAGCCUUCAGGGUUUCCAGGGAUGGGGUCUCUACCACCCCGUUCUAGUGUUUAACCACCUUCAUUGUAAUAAUAAUGCUAUCCUCCAGUAGUUUAAAACCAUUACCUUUGCCCUACUGCCACAGGCUCUACUGUCCCCAUCAUUCUUACAGGCUGCCUUUAAGUACUGAAAGGCUGCAAUAAGGCCUCCCGAGAGCCUUCUCUUCUCCAGAGUGGACAAUCCCUAGUCACACAGCUUUUCCUCACAGAAGACGUGUUCCAUCCCUCUAAUGGUUUUUGUGGCCCUUCUCUGGACCUGCUUCACCAGGUCUGUGUCUUUCCUGUGCUGGAUGCUCCAAAGCUUGAUGUAGUACUCCGGGUGAGGUCCACCCAGAGCAGAGCAGAAGGGGAAAAUCACCUCCCUUGACCUGCCGGCCGCACUUAUUUUGGUGCAGCCCAGGAUAGAGUUGUCUUUCCAGGCUGUGAAUGCACUUUGUUGGCUCAUAUCCAGCUUUUCAUUCACCAGUACCCCCAGGUCCUUCUUGGCAGGGCUGCUCUCAAUCCUUCAUGCCCCUGUCGGUAUUGAUGCAUUGAUGUCUGUAAUCUGUAGCUAAAUAUUAGCUAUCCUGUGCUGUGUGAGUAGGGAGGACUCUUCUGCUGUAAGUAGGAUUUUAUUGCUCAAUCUUGCAGUAAAAAAAAGUCAUCGUUUCUUGUGUGUGUUGAUCUUGGAUUGGCUGACAAUGUUACUGCUGCAAUAUUUGCAUUUGUACAUGUUUGACUGUCAUUUCAUGGUUCUUCAUUUUUCAGUGACACAUAAUGUAAAAUUGAAAGUUCCUCGAUGGAAAAAAUACAUCCAUUGUCUUAAACAGAGGCAGAUUUAUGAAAAAAAAAGGAAAUGAAUACAAAGUUUCUUAUUUUAAAUUCCUUUUAAGAUUGCCAGUUGUGGACUUUGUUUUACUGUGAAUAUUAUUCCAGGUAUUCCAGUUCUUUAUGAGGGUUGUUCAGUGUACUUGCUAUUUUAAUUACUUUAUAAUUUGCUUUUAGUGUUUAAUGUUUGUACUAAAUAUUCCUUUUCUUCUUGAUAUUUCCUCCCUAAGGAUAUUAAAUGUAAAAAUACAUUAAUAUUGAAAGACUAUUGUAUUAUAAGUAGGAUUUCCGAGAUAAUAGCAUCUUAUUGUUUAAAAAAUUAAGAACGGAGUUUUGAGUUUUUAAAAAUUUGAAGUACUAUACCUGCCAUCUACUGGAAGUACAAGGACGAUGCAUUUAAGUACUGUUCUGUUAACUGUUCAGCCAAUAACAUUUAUUAUUCUACUACUUUACUUUAUUAUUUGACUUUUUUCAAUUAAAAAAAUUGGAUUGAUCUUUAACCUGCAUUAUUUCAUUUAUUACUUUAUUUAAAAAAUGGCAGUCUUAAAAUUUAACUCCAGUUUUCAGCUCCUCAUGUGUCACUGAUUUUUAAUGAAUCCACAAUAAAAUCUAAACAAGUGUUAGGAAUCAAGUGUAAGAAAUAGAUUUGACAUCUUCUUCUGUCUUGUUCUGUAUGAUCAUUCAUUUUUAUGCAUCUGUACAACUCGCAAUUGGAGAGAACUGUAUAUGCACAAACAAAUUUUCAGAUAUUUAUGUAUUUCUUUGGAAGAGAAGAGUUACAAUAACUUAGAAUAACACCUCACAUUAUCAGAAGGGGUUGUUAUUAAAAGUUUUAUUCUUUUUAAUGUGAGGCACAUUUUUAAGGGACCUGUAAAUUACUCUAGGUUCAUUUUCAUCUCUUCUUGACUCUUAGUUCCAGUCCCAUAAACCACACUAAUUUCAUUCCAGUAUGGCCACUUCAGUGGACUGAAAAUCAAGAAAAAGUAAUAUAAAGGUGAAGAAGUCCAUUAAUCUUGGAUUUGGCACUGUAAAUAUAAUUUGUUUUGAUUUAGUAAUCCAGUAUUUGGCAAGAAAAAGAAAAAAGUCAUUAUUAAUUAAUUAUUAAAUAAUUGUUAGUUAUUGCUGACAUGAGAUUUGAAUUCCCCAGGUUGCACACAAUCCAAUCGCAUCCUUUUUGAUAUGAGAGACAUUGUUUUGUCUGUAUAUUAAUGGCUAAAGCUAGUGUAGAUUCUUUGGUAAGCUAGAUUUCCAACAGAUCAAACUGUGAAAAGGAAGAGAAAUAGUUAAGCGUAUAUUUACAUUUUUAAAAUCUAUUAUUAACCAAACCAAGACAGGCCUAAAAGGAAAUCAAAGAAAGUCAUCCGUUGUCUUCAAGGAAGUAUUGCUGAAUUCCUAAGAGAUUAUUGUGGAAAUAACCCUGUUCUGUGCAGGGAAAGAUCUUUCACGGGACUAUAAUACUGGAUUUAAUUUUAGUUUUUAAUUUUAAUUUUAAUUCUAAUUCUAAUUUUAAUACUCUGAUGCUCCUGUUCCUCUGAUGUUCCUGUUUAAUUUUAGCAGUUUAAAUUAAACACCUCACAUGCAUAAUAAAAAACACAUCUCUUGCUGAAGCAGAAUGAUUCUUUUUAUUCAGUAAGUGCUUUGAUAGUAUUCCAAAAUCAUCUUUUUGCGUUUAAAUAGGUUAAGUGGUGCCUGAAGGAUGAUUCACAAAUUACUACAAAGAGUGGAGCAGAUAGUCCAGAGCAAAAGAGGAAAUAUUAAAAGAUGUUUUUCUUCUUUCAAGGAAAAUUUCAUCCAAAGUUUAGUAUUCAUGUGGAGCAGACAUAUGCUCAUUCUGUAAUUCCUCAUCAGAAUUGCUCUUUUACUUUAUUUCAGGCAAAUUUUGGUGCUAUUGACUUCCCUAUAGAUGUUGAUCUGCUGCCACCUGAUAGAAAAAUUCUCACCACUACCCAGUUGAUUCCAACUAACUGUUACUUUAAGGUUCUGUAAUCUGCUCUAUAAAUCUGAAGUUACUUUUCUUAUCAUGAAUAUCUACUGCAUGAGCUGUUUCCAAGCAUACAUCAGUCUUACCAGUUAGAUUUAUUAAAAUCAGAGGAGAAGCAAAACAAAAGGUUUCCAUUAACUUCAUGCAUGCAAUUUUUUAAUUCUUCUAAACUAAACUAAGAUAAACUAUAUGAGCCUCUUUUCACUGAGUGAAUUGUUUCUUUCCUC